rnacentral:rRNA from 1 species
UACGAAGGGGGCUAGCGUUGCUCGGAAUCACUGGGCGUAAAGGGCGCGUAGGCGGCCAUUCAAGUCGGGGGUGAAAGCCUGUGGCUCAACCACAGAAUUGCCUUCGAUACUGUUUGGCUUGAGUAUGGCAGAGGUCAGUGGAACUGCGAGUGUAGAGGUGAAAUUCGUAGAUAUUCGCAAGAACACCAGUGGCGAAGGCGGCUGACUGGGCCAUAACUGACGCUGAGGCGCGAAAGCGUGGGGAGCAAACAGG